rnacentral:rRNA from 1 species
ACUCAAAGGAAUAGACGGGGGCCCGCACAAGCAGCGGAGCGUGUGGUUUAAUUCGACGCAACGCGAAGAACCUUACCCAGGUUUGACAUGCAUCUGCAAACCGGUGAAAGCCGGCUCCUUCGAGGGUGAUGCACAGGUGCUGCAUGGUUGUCGUCAGCUCGUGUCGUGAGAUGUUGGGUUAAGUCCCGCAACGAGCGCAACCCCUAUCGCCAGUUACACGUGUCUGGCGAGACUGCCGGUUUUUCGCCGGAGGAAGGCGGGGACGACGUCAAAUCCGCAUGGCCCUUACACCUGGGGCGACACACACGCUACAAUGGGCAGGCACAGUGCGCUGCAAGGCCGCAAGGCGGAGCAAAUCGAUAAACCUGUCCCCAGUUCAGAUCGAGGGCUGCAACUCGCCCUCGUGAAGGUGGAGUUGCUAGUAACCGCGUAUCAGCCAUGGCGCGGUGAAUGCGUUCCCGGGCCUUGUACACACCGCCCGU